rnacentral:rRNA from 1 species
UACGUAGGGGGCAAGCGUUGUCCGGAAUUAUUGGGCGUAAAGAGCGCGUAGGCGGUCCGAUAAGUCGGCUGUGAAAGUCAGGGGCUCAACCCUUGAAAGCCGGCCGAUACUGUCGGACUAGAGUCCGGAAGAGGCAAGUGGAAUUCCCGGUGUAGCGGUGAAAUGCGUAGAGAUCGGGAAGAACAUCAGUGGCGAAGGCGGCCUGCUGGGCUGUUGCUGACGCUGAGGCGCGACAGCGUGGGGGAGCAAACAGG